rnacentral:rRNA from 1 species
GACGAACGCUGGCGGCGUGCUUAACACAUGCAAGUCGAACGGAAAGGCCCUGCUUUUGUGGGGUGCUCGAGUGGCGAACGGGUGAGUAACACGUGAGUAACCUGCCCUUGACUUUGGGAUAACUUCAGGAAACUGGGGCUAAUACCGGAUAGGAGCUCCUGCUGCAUGGUGGGGGUUGGAAAGUUUCGGCGGUUGGGGAUGGACUCGCGGCUUAUCAGCUUGUUGGUGGGGUAGUGGCUUACCAAGGCUUUGACGGGUAGCCGGCCUGAGAGGGUGACCGGCCACAUUGGGACUGCGAUACGGCCCGGACUCCUACGGGAGGCAGCAGUGGGGAAUAUUGCACAAUGGGCGGAAGCCUGAUGCAGCAACGCCGCGUGCGGGAUGACGGCCUUCGGGUUGUAAACCGCUUUCGCCUGUGACGAAGCGUGAGUGACGGUAAUGGGUAAAGAAGCACCGGCUAACUACGUG